rnacentral:rRNA from 1 species
GCUCAGAUUGAACGCUGGCGGCAGGCCUAACACAUGCAAGUCGGACGGUAGCACAGAGAGCUUGCUCUUGGGUGACGAGUGGCGGACGGGUGAGUAAUGUCUGGGGAUCUGCCCGAUAGAGGGGGAUAACCACUGGAAACGGUGGCUAAUACCGCAUAACGUCGCAAGACCAAAGAGGGGGACCUUCGGGCCUCUCACUAUCGGAUGAACCCAGAUGGGAUUAGCUAGUAGGCGGGGUAAUGGCCCACCUAGGCGACGAUCCCUAGCUGGUCUGAGAGGAUGACCAGCCACACUGGAACUGAGACACGGUCCAGACUCCUACGGGAGGCAGCAGUGGGGAAUAUUGCACAAUGGGNGCAAGCCUGAUGCAGCCAUGCCGCGUGUAUGAAGAAGGCCUUCGGGUUGUAAAGUACUUUCAGCGGGGAGGAAGGCGGUGCGGUUAAUAACCGCGCCGAUUGACGUUACCCGCAGAA